AGGCGCUCGCCCGAGGAGCGGGGCGGGGCCGGGUUGCGUGGAUAACGGAAGUGGCGGGAGCAGGCGAUCGCCUCGGGGCGCGCGCCGUUCUGGCUGCCAUGGGCGUCUGCGCUGAGAAUGACCCUGCAACUUGGAACUCUCCAAACACCGUAGGAACUCAUUGGAGCUUAUGAAUGCAGAGUUCACAGCUUUGUCUAAUGAAGAAAACCAGUUGUGAAUGAGGACUUUUAACAAACAAGAGGGCACAAAGUUAAGGAACCCAAGCAUGGACCACGUCCCCCCUGUACAACAUGCAGCAGGCCAUGUACUUGUGAGUGUCACACUUGACCACCUGGUUGGCUGGCUUGAAGCAGGCAUUGGUGAUCCCAGUCACAGACAGCUGCUCAUG